AAGACUCCAUGUCUAAGUCAUAGAGUUUGUAUUAAGAUUAUGAAAAUUGUAAUUUUCGUUUAUUGGAUCGGUCAUGCAGGAGAUUAUCGUUUGGUGAUUGCGAUAAUCUUCUUUUUAUUGUUUCUGGGUUGUGUACGAGUUUAUAGUAUAUUUUGUCACGAAAUCGCCAAAGGGGGAGAUUGUUAAGGAUUUUAUAGGUUGGCGAAUUUCGUAAAGUUGGUUGGAGUCUUGAAGAGUUGAUCGCAGAAGUUUUUGAAGAAAAGAUUCAAAUUGAAGAAAUAAGACUCAUUCGGAAAGCUCGA
rnacentral:lncRNA from 1 species